rnacentral:rRNA from 1 species
CUACGGGUCGCUCCAGUGAGGAAUAUCGCACAAUGGGGGGAACCCUGAUGCAGCAACGCCGCGUGGAGGAUGACGCAUUUCGGUGUGUAAACUCCUUUUAUAUGUCAAGAAAAUGACGGUAGCAUAUGAAUAAGCACCGGCUAACUCCGUGCCAGCAGCCGCGGUAAUACGGAGGGUGCAAGCGUUACUCGGAAUCACUGGGCGUAAAGGACGCGUAGGCGGGUUGGAAAGUCAGGUGUGAAAUCCUACAGCUUAACUGGAGAACUGCACUUGAAACUUCUAAUCUAGAGUAUGGGAGGGGGAGAUGGAAUUAGUGGUGUAGGGGUAAAAUCCGUAGAUAUCACUAGGAAUACCCAAAGCGAAGGCGAUCUCCUGGAACAUUACUGACGCUAAGGCGUGAAAGCGUGGGGAGCAAACAGGAUUAGAUACCCUAGUAGUC